AACGCGAAAACCUUACCUACCCUUGACAUGUCUGGAACCUUGCUGAGAGGCGAGGGUUGCCUUCGGGAGCCAGAACACAGGUGCUGCAUGGCUGUCGUCAGCUCGUGUCGUGAGAUGUUGGGUUAAGUCCCGGCAACGAGCGCAACCCUUGUCAUUAGUUGCCAUCAUUUAGUUGGGCACUCUAAUGAGACUGCCGGUGACAAACCGGAGGAAGGUGGGGAUGACGUCAAAUCAUCAUGCCCCUUAUGACCUGGGCUACACACGUGCUACAAUGGUUGGUACAACGAGUUGCGAGUCGGUGACGGCGAGCUAAUCUCUUAAAGCCAAUCUCGGUUCGGAUUGUAGGCUGCAACUCGCCUACAUGAAGUCGGAAUCGCUAGUAAUCGCGGAUCAGCACGCCGCGGUGAAUACGUUCCCGGGCCUU
rnacentral:rRNA from 1 species